AUGAUCUCUGGAAUUAUUCCUGCUGACAUCAGUAAUCUGGUUGGUCUCAAUGUUCUUGAUAUAGCAGCUACCUCUAUAUCUGGAGUGAUUCCAGAUAGCAUCGGUAAGCUAGAGAACUUGGUCAACUUAAACUUGAUCAACCAUACCUUGUCUGGUCUCAUACCUCCAUCGCUAGGAAACCUUUCACAAUUGAUUAGCCUUCGUGCACGUGAUUGCAAUUUGGAGGGGCCAAUUCCAGCAAGCCUGGGAGAGUUGAAAAAUAUCUUUAUGCUUGAUUUGUCAAGGAAUUUCCAUCUUAAUGGUUCAAUACCAAGAGAGAUUUUGAAAUUAACCAGCCUCUCUUUGUAUGUGGACUUGUCAUACAAUUCCCUUUCUGGACCCAUUCCCAAUGAAGUUGGUAGCUUGUCAAACCUUAACCGACUUAUUCUAUCAGGAAACCGAUUGUCUGGCGAGAUACCUGAUAGUAUUCAGAAUUGCAUAGUGUUGGUACUGCUAUCAUUAGAAAAUAAUUCAUUCGAGGGAGUCAUAUCUCGAUCACUGGCAAAUAUAAAGGGGCUCAUUAAACUAGACCUCAGCAUGAAUAAGUUCUUUGGUAAUAUUCCUGAUGCCCUUGGUAAUAUUGGAAACCUGCAAGGACUAUACCUAGCACAUAACAACUUGUCAGGGUCAAUCCCGUUAGUCCUACAAAAUUUGUCAUCAUUGUCUGAACUGGAUAUAUCCUUCAAUAAUUUGCAAGGCGAGGUGCCACAUGAAGGUGUUUUUAGAAACAUCACUUACUUAGCGGUUGCCGGGAAUAUCAAUUUGUGUGGUGGUACACCUCAACUGGAUUUGGCUCCAUGCUCCAUAAGCAAGAAGACUAGAAAGAUGCCAAAGUCCCUUGUCAUUUCUUUAGCGACAGUUGGAGCAAUCUUGUUGUCACUUUCACUUGUUUUUCUUAUUUGGAUGCUUUGCAAGAAUCUCAAACCAAGCCAGAAUACAGUAGCACAAAAUUCAAUUGUUGGUGACCGUUACAAUAGAAUCCCCUAUCAUGCAUUAUGGAAAGGAACUAACGGAUUUUCAGAAGCCAACUUGCUUGGGAGAGGAAGUUAUGGUGCAGUUUAUAAGUGUGUUUUGAACACUGAAGAAAGAACAUUGGCUGUCAAGGUUUUUAAUCUUGGUCAAUCUAGGUAUUCAAAGAGUUUUGAGGCUGAGUGUGAGAUCAUGAGAAGGAUGCGACAUCGUUGUCUCAUUAAGAUCAUUACUUCUUGUUCGAGCGUCAACCACAAAGGUCAGGAGUUCAAGGCAUUGGUUUUUGAGUUCAUGUGCAAUGGUAACUUGGAUGGUUGGCUUCAUCCAGAAUCUCAACAACCUACUACAAACAACACACUCAGCCUUGCUCAGAGGCUUGAUAUUGCUGUCGGUAUUGUGGAUGCAAUAGAAUAUCUACACAACUACUGUCAACCAUUGGUAAUCCAUUGCGAUCUCAAGCCAAGAAACAUUCUUCUUUCUGAAGACAUGAGUGCACGAGUUGGAGACUUUGGCAUAUCAAGGAUUCUGCAAGAAAAUACAAGCAAGGGGAUGCAAACUUCAUAUAGCUCAACUGGAAUUAGAGGUUCCAUAGGCUAUGUUGCUCCAGGUGAUUGAAACUCUUCUAAUUUCAUAUUUUACUUUUCACUCGAAUAUGGCAUGCUAAGCACAAAACAUUGCAUAAUUGUAGAGUACGGUGAAUGCUCUGCUGUCUCAACAGCUGGUGAUCUUUAUAGUCUUGGCAUAUUAUUACUUGAGAUGUUUACCGGAAGGAGCCCAACAGAAGGCAUGUUCAAAGAUUCUUUGGAUCUGCAUAAGUUUGUUGAGGAUGGAAUCCCAAACAGAACCUUGGAGAUAGCCGACCCAACAUUGUGGCUGCACAUCGGACGACACAAUAACACUGCCAAUAUUAGAAUCCAGGAGGUAUUGGUUUCGGUCUUAAGGCUUGGCAUAUCAUGCUCAAAGAAACAACCUCGAGACCGAGCACUGACAAAAGAUGCAGCAGCCGAGAUGCAUGCAAUCAGAGAUGCAUACCUCAAGUUUACAGGGGAACAUGGACCAGAAAGAGAAGCCUCAACUCUAGAAAAUUCAGAAUAG
rnacentral:rRNA from 1 species